rnacentral:rRNA from 1 species
GUUUGAUCAUGGCUCAGGAUGAACGCUGGCGGCGUGGAUAAGGCAUGCAAGUCGAACGGACCUUGCCUCUCGGAUCGAUCAAGUAGAGUGGAGUAGCAAUACAAAACAACACGAAAUCUUGAAGAGGGGCGCUGGUUAGUGGCGAACGAGGUAGUAAUACGCAGGAAUGUACCCCUAAGUCGUGAACAACUCAUCGAAAGAUGGGCUAAUACACGAUGGUCUCUUCGGAGUAAAGAUUUAUCGCUUAGGGAACAGCCUGCGGGAUAUCAGCUAGAUGGUAGGGUAAUGGCCUACCAUGGCUAUGACGUCUAGGGGAACUGAGAGGUUGACCCCCACCGAUGGGACUGAGACACGGCCCAUACACCUACGGGUGGCUGCAGUCAAGAACCUUCCACAAUGGACGAAAGUCUGAUGGAGCGACGCCGCGUGAUGGAUGAAGUGGUUCGCCAUGUAAACAUCUUUUAUGAGGGAAGAAGCUUAUUGACGGUACCUCAUGAAUAAGAGGCUCCUAAUCUCGUGCCAGCAGGAGCGGUAAUACGAGAGCCUCGAGCGUUAUCCGGAAUUAUUGGGCGUAAAGUGUGCGUAGGCGGCUGUGUUAGUCGUUCUUCAAAUCUAUCGGCUCAACCGGUAAACUGGGAACGAAACGGCACGGCUAGAGGAUGCAAGAGGUAUGCGGAACUCAUGGUGUAGGGGUGAAAUCCGUUGAUAUCAUGGGGAACACCGAAAGCGAAGGCAGCAUACUGGUGCAUUUCUGACGCUGAGGCACGAAAGCGUGGGUAGCGAAUGGGAUUAGAUACCCCAGUAGUCCACGCCCUAAACGAUGAUCUCUAGCUUUCCGGAGUAUCGACCCUCUGAGAGGCGCAGCAAACGCGUUAAGAGAUCCGCCUGGGAAGUACGGCCGCAAGGCUAAAACUCAAAGGAAUAGACGGGGACUUGCACAAGCGGUGGAUUAUGUGGUUUAAUUCGACGAUAAACGAAGAACCUUACCAAGGUUUGAAACCCAAAUGAAUGCUCGGCGGAAACGUGAGCAGUCCGCAAGGACAUUUGGACAGGUGCUGCAUGGCCGUCGUCAGUUCGUGGUUUGAAUUGUUCCCUUAAGUGGGGUAACGAACGCAACCCUCGUUGUGUGUUAUACGUGUCACACAAGACUGCCCCCGCAAAAGCGAAUUUUCUUUAUUGAAAGAAAGUGCGUUUCUGCGGGGGAGGAAGGAGAGGAUGACGCCAGGUCAGCAUGGCCCUUUGAUACCUUGGGCUACACACAUAAUACAAUGACCGGUACAACGGGUCGCGACGGAGUAAUCCUGAGCCAAUCCUAAUAAAGCCGGCCCCAGUUCGGAUUGAGGGCUGAAACUCGACCUCAUGAAGUUGGAAUCGCUAGUAAUCGCGGGUCAGAUAUACCGCGGUGAAUACGUUCUCAAGUCUUGUACACACCGCCCGUC